ACGCUCGACACCUACGGGAGGCAGCAGUGGGGAAUAUUGCACAAUGGGGGAAACCCUGAUGCAGCGACGCCGCGUGGAGGAAGAAGGUCUUCGGAUUGUAAACUCCUGUUGUUGGGGAAAAAGAGGAUGGUACCCAACAAGGAAGUGACGGCUAACUACGUGCCAGCAGCUGCGGUAAUCUGAGCGGGCUGGCAAGGC
rnacentral:rRNA from 1 species